rnacentral:rRNA from 1 species
GACGAACGCUGGCGGCGUGCUUAACACAUGCAAGUCGAGCGGAGCGGCGAACGGGCGAGUAACGCGUGAGUAACUGCCCCCCUCCCCUGGAUAACAGUUGGAAACGGCUGCUAAUACCGGAUAGUGGGGGAUGUUUCGGGUCCUAUCAGCUUGUUGGUGGGGUAGUGGCUUACGAAGGCGACGACGGGUAGCCGGCCCGAGAGGGCGACCGGCCACAGUGGGCUGAGAUACGGCCCGAAGGCCAACGGGAGGAAGCAGUGAGGAAUAGUGCGCAAAGGGGGAAACCCGGAUGGAGGGACGCCGCGUGGGGGAGGGCGGCCUUCGGGUUGUAAACCGCGUACAGCGAUGACGCGGUAGUGGCAGAAGAAGCACCGGCUAACUACGUGCCAGCAGCCGCGGUAAUAC